GUUAUUUUCAUUUUUCGGCGACGACAAAAAUAAUAAAAUAUAUCAUCAUCAUCGUCAUCACUGCUGGACGCCAUCUUGAAUGAACGAAAUUUAUACGCUAAUGUUACGCUUCGUGUGUGGAUGUGCAGGCGUACGCGUAUCGUCAACUGCGAAUCGAAUUUUGUACAGUCUAUUGCAAAAAGUUUUGUGCAUGAAGGGAAAAAGUUUGGCUUACCCGCAGAACAAAAGAGCAACUCUAGUCAUUCGUUCAGGAUAUGAUUACGUAAGAUACACAGUGGAACAAAUAAUGAGCCUGGUUGCCUAGUAACCAGGGUAGACAGGAAUAUCUAGUGACGAAAUACAUUUCACAAAAAGUUCU
rnacentral:lncRNA from 1 species